rnacentral:rRNA from 1 species
GAUGAACGCUGGCGGCGUGCCUAAUACAUGCAAGUAGAACGCUGAAGGAGGAGCUUGCCCUUCUGGAUGAGUUGCGAACGGGUGAGUAACGCGUAGGUAACAUGCCUGGUAGCGGGGGAUAACAAUUGGAAACGCUAGCUAAUACCGCAUGACAACAGUUAUUGCAUGAUAACUGUUUAAAAGGGGCAACUGCUCCACUACUUGAUGGACCUGCGUUGUAUUAGCUAGUUGGUGAGGUAACGGCUCACCAAGGCGACGAUUCAUAGCCGACCUGAGAGGGGGAUCGGCCCCACUGGGACUGGGACACGGCCCAGACUCCUACGGGGGGCAGCAGUAGGGAAUCUUCGGCAAUGGACGGAAGGCUGACCGGGCAACGCCGCGUGGGUGAAGAAGGUUUUCGGAUCGUAAAGCUCUGUUGUAAGGGAAGAACGAGUGUGAGAGUGGAAAGUUCACACUGUGACGGUAUCUUACCAGAAAGGGACGGCUAACUACGUG